rnacentral:tRNA from 1 species
GCCUAGUGGGAUAGCUCAGUUAGUAGAGCACGAGACUCUUAAUCUCAGGGUUGUGGGUUCGAGACCCACGUUGGGUG